ACACGACUACAUUAGAUACCCCUGUAGUCUUAGCCGUAAACGAUACUCGCUAGGUGUCGGCCACGGUGCGACCGUUGUCGGUGCCGUAGGGAAGCCGUGAAGCGAGCCACCUGGGAAGUACGGCCGCAAGGCUGAAACUUAAAGGAAUUGGCGGGGGAGCACCACAACGGGUGGAGCUUGCGGUUUAAUUGGAUUCAACGCCGGAAAUCUUACCGGGACCGACAGCAACAUGAAGGCCAGGCUGAAGACUUUGCCGGAUUAGCUG
rnacentral:rRNA from 1 species